rnacentral:rRNA from 1 species
UUAAGCGACUAAGCGUACACGGUGGAUGCCCUGGCAGUCAGAGGCGAUGAAGGACGUGCUAAUCUGCGAUAAGCGUCGGUAAGGUGAUAUGAACCGUUAUAACCGGCGAUUUCCGAAUGGGGAAACCCAGUGUGUUUUGACACACUAUCAUUAACUGAAUCCAUAGGUUAAUGAGGCGAACCGGGGGAACUGAAACAUCUAAGUACCCCGAGGAAAAGAAAUCAACCGAGAUUCCCCCAGUAGCGGCGAGCGAACGGGGAGCAGCCCAGAGCCUGAAUCAGUGUGUGUGUUAGUGGAAGCGUCUGGAAAGGCGCGCGAUACAGGGUGACAGCCCCGUACACAAAAAUGCACAUNNNNNNNNNNNNNNNNUGUGAGCUCGAUGAGUAGGGCGGGACACGUGGUAUCCUGUCUGAAUAUGGGGGGACCAUCCUCCAAGGCUAAAUACUCCUGACUGACCGAUAGUGAACCAGUACCGUGAGGGAAAGGCGAAAAGAACCCCGGCGAGGGGAGUGAAAAAGAACCUGAAACCGUGUACGUACAAGCAGUGGGAGCACGCUUAGGCGUGUGACUGCGUACCUUUUGUAUAAUGGGUCAGCGACUUAUAUUCUGUAGCAAGGUUAACCGAAUAGGGGAGCCGAAGGGAAACCGAGUCUUAACUGGGCGUUAAGUUGCAGGGUAUAGACCCGAAACCCGGUGAUCUAGCCAUGGGCAGGUUGAAGGUUGGGUAACACUAACUGGAGGACCGAACCGACUAAUGUUGAAAAAUUAGCGGAUGACUUGUGGCUGGGGGUGAAAGGCCAAUCAAACCGGGAGAUAGCUGGUUCUCCCCGAAAGCUAUUUAGGUAGCGCCUCGUGAAUUCAUCUCCGGGGGUAGAGCACUGUUUCGGCAAGGGGGUCAUCCCGACUUACCAACCCGAUGCAAACUGCGAAUACCGGAGAAUGUUAUCACGGGAGACACACGGCGGGUGCUAACGUCCGUCGUGAAGAGGGAAACAACCCAGACCGCCAGCUAAGGUCCCAAAGUCAUGGUUAAGUGGGAAACGAUGUGGGAAGGCCCAGACAGCCAGGAUGUUGGCUUAGAAGCAGCCAUCAUUUAAAGAAAGCGUAAUAGCUCACUGGUCGAGUCGGCCUGCGCGGAAGAUGUAACGGGGCUAAACCAUGCACCGAAGCUGCGGCAGCGACGCUGAUGCGUUGUUGGGUAGGGGAGCGUUCUGUAAGCCUGCGAAGGUGUGCUGUGAGGCAUGCUGGAGGUAUCAGAAGUGCGAAUGCUGACAUAAGUAACGAUAAAGCGGGUGAAAAGCCCGCUCGCCGGAAGACCAAGGGUUCCUGUCCAACGUUAAUCGGGGCAGGGUGAGUCGACCCCUAAGGCGAGGCCGAAAGGCGUAGUCGAUGGGAAACAGGUUAAUAUUCCUGUACUUGGUGUUACUGCGAAGGGGGGACGGAGAAGGCUAUGUUGGCCGGGCGACGGUUGUCCCGGUUUAAGCGUGUAGGCUGGUUUUCCAGGCAAAUCCGGAAAAUCAAGGCUGAGGCGUGAUGACGAGGCACUACGGUGCUGAAGCAACAAAUGCCCUGCUUCCAGGAAAAGCCUCUAAGCAUCAGGUAACAUCAAAUCGUACCCCAAACCGACACAGGUGGUCAGGUAGAGAAUACCAAGGCGCUUGAGAGAACUCGGGUGAAGGAACUAGGCAAAAUGGUGCCGUAACUUCGGGAGAAGGCACGCUGAUAUGUAGGUGAAGUCCCUCGCGGAUGGAGCUGAAAUCAGUCGAAGAUACCAGCUGGCUGCAACUGUUUAUUAAAAACACAGCACUGUGCAAACACGAAAGUGGACGUAUACGGUGUGACGCCUGCCCGGUGCCGGAAGGUUAAUUGAUGGGGUCAGCGCAAGCGAAGCUCUUGAUCGAAGCCCCGGUAAACGGCGGCCGUAACUAUAACGGUCCUAAGGUAGCGAAAUUCCUUGUCGGGUAAGUUCCGACCUGCACGAAUGGCGUAAUGAUGGCCAGGCUGUCUCCACCCGAGACUCAGUGAAAUUGAACUCGCUGUGAAGAUGCAGUGUACCCGCGGCAAGACGGAAAGACCCCGUGAACCUUUACUAUAGCUUGACACUGAACAUUGAGCCUUGAUGUGUAGGAUAGGUGGGAGGCUUNGGGUUGCGGACAGUGUCUGGUGGGUAGUUUGACUGGGGCGGUCUCCUCCUAAAGAGUAACGGAGGAGCACGAAGGUUGGCUAAUCCUGGUCGGACAUCAGGAGGUUAGUGCAAUGGCAUAAGCCAGCUUGACUGCGAGCGUGACGGCGCGAGCAGGUGCGAAAGCAGGUCAUAGUGAUCCGGUGGUUCUGAAUGGAAGGGCCAUCGCUCAACGGAUAAAAGGUACUCCGGGGAUAACAGGCUGAUACCGCCCAAGAGUUCAUAUCGACGGCGGUGUUUGGCACCUCGAUGUCGGCUCAUCACAUCCUGGGGCUGAAGUAGGUCCCAAGGGUAUGGCUGUUCGCCAUUUAAAGUGGUACGCGAGCUGGGUUUAGAACGUCGUGAGACAGUUCGGUCCCUAUCUGCCGUGGGCGCUGGAGAACUGAGGGGGGCUGCUCCUAGUACGAGAGGACCGGAGUGGACGCAUCACUGGUGUUCGGGUUGUCAUGCCAAUGGCACUGCCCGGUAGCUAAAUGCGGAAGAGAUAAGUGCUGAAAGCAUCUAAGCACGAAACUUGCCCCGAGAUGAGUUCUCCCUGACUCCUUGAGAGUCCUGAAGGAACGUUGAAGACGACGACGUUGAUAGGCCGGGUGUGUAAGCGCAGCGAUGCGUUGAGCUAACCGGUACUAAUGAACCGUGAGGCUUAACCUU